rnacentral:lncRNA from 10 species
UUUCUCGGCACAAGCUCUCUCUUUGCCUGCCGCCAUCCAUGUAAGAUGUGACUUGCUCCUCCUUGCCUCCCGCCAUGAUUGUGAGGCCUCCCCAGCCAUGUGGAACUGUAAGUCUAAUAAACUUCUUUCUUUUGUAAAUUGCCCAGUCUUGGCUAUGUCUUUAUCAGCAGUGUGAAAACGGACUAAUACAACUCCUUUUUGCAUUUUUGCCACAACAGUUUCCUUCAGUACAACAGCUACUUUUUAAGGAGUGCUUUCUGUCAGGGACCAGGCCAGGCACUAGGAAUAUUCACAUGAAGAAGGCAAAGCCCAGGACCUUCCAUCAGUUGGUGAGGCCUGUGAUUGGCCACAGCUGCCUGCGUCUCAUUCUGCCGCUGAUCUAAGGAAGCCCUUCAUUGCCACAUAUCUCAGCCUUAAUCUCCAUUGUCAGCUCUCUCCAUCCUGAAGAUUGACAUGUGUAUGUUUGAACAGAGGCCGGCCAGCAUGGGGUCACACUGGCUUCAGUUAACCUGGGUUCCAAUCCUGCCUCUGCCACUUGGUAGCGGUGACACCUUGGUGACUUUCUGGGCACCAUUUCUGCCUCCAUUUGCUCAUCUGUAAAAUGGAGACCACACAAGGCUGCUGUGAGAAGUAAACAAGCUUGCAGGGGCUACAAGGAAGUAUGGCAUUUCUGAGCACACCAUCCGAGGGAACCCUGGGAGCUGUCAGAUUAAAAAAUAACAACAGAAACGAGAAAGGAGCCUCUCUUUAGCCAAAUGGCUUCA